AUGAACGCUAGCUACAGGCUUAACACAUGCAAGUCGAGGGGCAGCAUGGUCUUAGCUUGCUAAGGCCGAUGGCGACCGGCGCACGGGUGAGUAACACGUAUCCAACCUGCCGUCUACUCUUGGACAGCCUUCUGAAAGGAAGAUUAAUACAAGAUGGCAUCAUGAGUCCGCAUGUUCACAUGAUUAAAGGUAUUCCGGUAGACGAUGGGGAUGCGUUCCAUUAGAUAGUAGGCGGGGUAACGGCCCACCUAGUCUUCGAUGGAUAGGGGUUCUGAGAGGAAGGUCCCCCACAUUGGAACUGAGACACGGUCCAAACUCCUACGGGAGGCAGCAGUGAGGAAUAUUGGUCAAUGGGCGAGAGCCUGAACCAGCCAAGUAGCGUGAAGGAUGACUGCCCUAUGGGUUGUAAACUUCUUUUAUAAAGGAAUAAAGUCGGGUAUGGAUACCCGUUUGCAUGUACUUGAUGAAUAAGGAUCGGCUAACUCCGUG
rnacentral:rRNA from 1 species